UAUACUUGGCGCCGCCGCCGAGCGUGGCCGGCUGGCCCUCCCGGGAGACUCCCGGCUCCGGUGUCCACGACGGCGGAAAUUAAAUUGGGUCCCGCAGGUGUCUUGAGGGAAGGCGACGGGGCUCCCGACUUCGUGCUUAUUUCGUCUGCAAGCAGAGGCGUGAACGGGCUCCGGGGCUCCUCUGAAGGGCUUUUCCCCCUUGCAAGAGCUCAGUGGCCGCAAACAAUCGCUUCUGCUAAACACCGAGGAGGACCUCGGUCGCCAUCCCCUGCGCGGGUCGAGCCCUCCGGGACGCCUUCACGCAUCUGGUCUUCUCCGCAGCGCCGCGAAGCGGGGCCUCCCUCCCCCGUGUCCGCAGGGGCCAGGGGCGACCCCCCAGGUGUGGGGCCACAGCCACUGCAGAAUGGCCGAGGGGACAGAGGAGGGGAGCCCCCGGCAGCAGCAGGGCCCGUGACGGCAUCACAACUGUCCGCGGCCCCCACGGCCCCUCUGAACAGGCUCCCCGCCCCGCCGUCCCCCGUGAGGACAGGAAGCAGCAGACGGAGAAACGAGAGAGGCCCCCCUCACCCCCCGGGCAGCCCCUGCCCCUCACAGGGCUGGACGUGGUUUGGGGUCCCUUCCUCGGCGGCCGCUGUCGGUGUGGACAGCAGGUGGAUACUAGCGCCUUCCCCGGGGCUGUUCUGCUGUUGGCCACCCCUCAUCGUCGCUCCGAGUCUCGCUGACGGGCUGGAGGGGGCCAGGCCCAGGAGCCCCGGGGGUUCCUCGGGCUCCCUGAAGAGCAGCCGUCCUGGGUGGGUCCCCUGGCUGCGGACCACAGCCCAAACCAGCUGUGUUCCCGGGCCUUUGGGCCAGCCCCCGACUCCCCCAACCCGGGUUCCUCUGACGACCUCGAAGGCAGGAGGCCCUGACUUACGCAGCCUGUACCUCGGGUCCCACCGGGGCCCCCAGAAGAGUCUCGCCGGCUCAGUGUCCCCACGAGGAGGGCUUCCAGAGCUGGGGAGGGGCACAGACUCGGGGUGUGGGCCUGCCCUCCAGGAGACGGGCGGCCCCACGGAGGCCCGGGAGGAGCAGGGCCGCCUCAUGAGCCGUGGGCGGCUGGAGCCACGGAGCCCUGGGGACGUCCCACCCAGUGCAGCAUCAGAAUCACUAGGUUCAGCUGUGAGACCUGUGCUUUACAUAAAAUUAUGA
rnacentral:lncRNA from 1 species